CUCACUGUAAAAGAUACAGUGAGACAACCAAUGCUGAGUUGGUUAUAGCAUUUGCCAAAAUCUCUGUGAUCUAAUUGUACCUGCCUCUGGCACAACUUUGUGUAUUAUUUAUAAAACCAGUUACCUCAUAUUAUAAGAAGGUAGUUCAACCAGGUAUCAUCAGUUUUAAAAUACAGAAAUACUCUAUACACAAAAAACUGAUUUUCUCAUUAAACAUCCAAUAGCUUAGUGCAUUGCUAAUGUAUUUUAUAUUUGUUGAUCAUUUAUGAUUUUGAAUUGCACAUACUUGUAGUGUCAAUCAAAGCUUGUCGUUUGCAGGUGUUGACUUUGCUAUUUGGCACAUUUCCCUGUUUUCUUUUAGAUUUUUGUUUUUCCAAAAUAUUCAACUAGUUUAGACAUGCCCUCAUUGCAUAAUGCAAUUAAAAUGACUAAGUUUGUUAUAAAUCUUGCAGUUGUGUUGAAACUGAUACAACAGACAACAAGGUAGAUGUAUUUGCCAGUAGGUUUAUUGAUGUUUUUUGCUAUGGGACAUGGAGGUCUCCAUGUCUAUGGCCAUGAAUGUCUUGUGAUGCCCAGGACAAACUCAGCCACCUUUGCCUACAAGGGUGAGGAGGUCAUACUGAACUGUUCAGUAGAUUUGCAAGUACCAGCCAAAAACAUAGAACAAGUGAACUGGAAAAGGGAGGACGGAGACCAAAAUGUCCUUGUCCUGCUUUAUCAAACCAAUCAUACCAUCUCUGAUUCCUCACAUGAAAGGUACAAGAAAAGAGUUGAGCUCUUUUCUUCUGAAAUCUCCAAAGGGAACUUCUCACUCAAGCUGAUGGAUGUACAGCUGGAAGAUAAAGGAACAUACAUAUGUGAGGUCUUCGCUAUGAACAGGUCUACACGGAUCUGUGUGAAUCUGGAUGGCGUAGGUUUCACCACACCGCAUAUAUCAAUAUUUGUUCUUUGCUCUGUUGCGCUGGUGCUUGCAGUGGGAUUUUUUGGUCCUGUUUGGAACCUACUGAGAAAGAAAGGUUCUACUUCACAAGACUUGACAAUGCCCAUUUUUCUGAUCCUUUGUCCAAACAUCUGCAUGUUUGCAGCUUUCAUCUUGUGGUCAACAGAAGCCUUACCCCCAGAGAUCAUUGCUUGUUCAAGUGUCAAUCUCAUGAGGCCUCUCAUGCUGCUGAAAACAUCUACUUAUCUCAACAAGUUACCAAACUGCUUACAGAAAGCAGUAAAGGCUUUGGCUGUUCCACUUUAUCAUUCAACUGUAACAAUGGCCACAUGUUCAAUUUUCUUUGGAAAUGUUGCUAUGAUACAGAGACCAGCAGGACACACGGUAACAGUACUGAUCAUCUUUGCAGUGGGGACUUUCAUCAGUGCUAUUGUUUUAGCUGUCUAUGGUCUCCGGCUGCACCAGACUGUGUGUCUAGAAAUAUUUAACCUGGUCCUGUUUGGAUUUCUACUCAGCAGCAACCGAGACCCUUACAUCUACAUCACUGAGGCAAUUUGUGCAUUAGCACCUCCUGUCAUAGUGAUGCUGAUGGUCCUAUCACUACAAAAGCACUUUUUCCAAGGAGAAGCUUUUAGCUGUGUGCAAAUUGCUCUGUCAUCUAUUAUCGUGACUGUUUUCAGCCUAAACGUCAUUUGUAUUUACGUUCUUUUGUCUAUUACAUUACCAGAAUUUUACAAAAGAGGAUGGAUGAUUGCGUUUGAAGGUAUAUUGUUCAUAUUUGCAUGGUUAGUUUUGAGUUGUCUAUUGCGUCACUACCAAGGACAGAAUACAGGAUGCUGCCCUCAAUGGAGAAAAAAAGGAUAUUUUUGCUGCAGUGUCCUUGUUGCACUUCUAAUAAUUGUGGAUGGAAUUGUGUACUUUCAUUGUGUACAAAAAAUCAUGGAAGUGAAAGAUCUUGCUGGAUAUCUGGCUCUCACGCCAUUCAUACAUGUUUUGGCAGCAACAUGUUUGUUUAAACAUCCCGUAUAUUUACCGGAGUUCCUUCAUGCUAUGGUCUACAUGUUUGGAGCUGUAGGUCUCAGUACUGUAAAUGCAAUUGCUCUCAUUGCAGAACUGAUCCUGAAAGCAGAUAAAGGAGCACGGACUAUCGGCGAUCUCCGUGUGAUCGUUUUACCAGUUGAAACGGUGUUUGUUUCCGCUUGGCUCGCGUUACAGAUCUACGAUGCCUGGACGAGAUCGAAAGAAUAAUGCGCAAUUUUGAAGAUAUGAAGGGGAGAGAAAAAAAAGAGAGUAAUAUCACCUGAGACUAUUCAGCUGUCUUGAUGGUGUCAUGUGUUGGAUGGAUGGACUUUGAGUCAAAGCUUCUUGCAUUUCUUCUAGUGAGUCACUGACUCUGUCACACAGAAGCUACCAGGCGUGUUAAGAGAUCAAGUUACUAAAUUAAGGAGAUUUAGCAGCAAUACAGCAGAUGGUCACAAAUAAUCAAUGGACUACUGUAAUAAAGAAACAUUGUGAAAUGGUUUUACAUUUAUCCAUUGCUCCAGUUUUAUUAAUUAAAUAUAAAAUCAAUAUAAGUACACUUAGGAAGUAAUGGGGCUUUAUUUGAAAUCUAUAGAUCUGCUGUUUUAAGUCCUCUAUGUCCCUCUUUUAUCCAUUAAAAGUGUCAUAAAAUAAGAAUUGAUUCAAUGUAUAAAUGUAAACUUUUUGUGUUUUGUGGUGCAUUUUUUUUGUUUUAUGUCUAGAAACAUACAGUAUUAAUCAAUCAAUAUCAGUAUAAAUAUUUCAUAUGUUUUCACAUUAAAUGUAU